rnacentral:misc_RNA from 1 species
AACCACUCGCGCCUGGCGUGGUAUUGGGGCACGCGGUCUCCGCGGCCCUCAAAAUUAGUGGCGGCGCCGGUGGGCUCUAAGCGUAGUACAUAACUCCCGCUAUAGAGUUCCCCCCGGUGGCUCGCCAGAACCCCCAAUUUUUACA